AGAGUUUGAUCCUGGCUCAGGAUGAACGCUGGCGGCGUGGAUAAGGCAUGCAAGUCGUGCGCCCCUUCGGGGGAGCGGCAAACGGGUUAGUAACACGUAGAUACAUGCCAUUGAGACAGGGAUAACCUAGAGAAAUCUAGGCUAAUACCUGAUAGUCCCGCAAGGGUAAAGUGAUUCUUUUGAAUCAGCUCAAUGAUUGGUCUGCGGCCUAUCAGCUUGUUGGUUAGGUAACGGCUAACCAAGGCAAUGACGGGUAGGGGGUGUGAGAGUAUGACCCCCAACAUUGGGACUGAGACACUGCCCAAACUUCUACGGAAGGCUGCAGUCGAGAAUAUUGGUCAAUGGGCGAAAGCCUGAACCAGCGACGCCGCGUGCUUGAAGAAGCCCUUCGGGGUGUAAAAAGCUUUUCUGGAGGAAGAACCUUCGGGUGACAAAUCCAGGAAUAAGGGGGUCCUAACUCUGUGCCAGCAGGAGCGGUAAUACAGAGCCCCCGAGCGUUAUCCGGAUUUAUUGGGCGUAAAGGGUCCGUAGGCGUCCCGCCAGGUUUUCUGUUAAAUCUCCAGCGCUUAACGUUGGAACUGCAGAAAAAACCGGUGGGAUAGAGGGCGUUAGAGGCUGAUAGAACGGUCGGUGUAGGGGUGAAAUCCGUUGAUAUCGACCGGAAUACCAAAAGCGAAGGCAUUCAGCUGGGGCGACCCUGACGCUGAGGGACGAAAGCGUAGGGAGAGAACAGGAUUAGAUACCCUGGUAUUCUACGCUGUAAACGAUGGACACUAGCUAUUCGAAGUGUCGACCCUUCGGGUGGCGAAGCUAACGCGUUAAGUGUCCCGCCUGGGAAGUACGGCGGCAACGCUAAAACUCAAAGGAAUAGACGGGGAUCUACACAAGCGGUGGACCAUGUGGCUCAAUUCGAUAACAAGCGAGGAACCUUACCAGGGUUUGACAGGCUAAUGAAACCCCAAGGAAAUUUGGGACUACCCACAAGGACAUUAGCUCAGGUGCUGCACGGUCGUCGUCAGCAUGUAUCUUGAGACGCACCCUUAAAUGGGGUAACAUGCGCAACCCUUACUCUGUGUUUUAUAUGUCACAGAGAACUGCCUGGGACAACCAGGAGGAAGGCGGGGAUGGCGCCAGAUCAGCGUGGCCCUUUGAUACCCUGGGCUGCACACGUGGUACAAUGGGACUGACAAUGCGUUGCGAAAGCGCAAGCUGGAGCUAAUCGCAUCAAACGGUCUCUCAGUUCGGAUUGAGGUCUGCAACCCGACCUCAUGAAGCUGGAAUCGCUAGUAAUCGCACAUCAGCCACGGUGCGAUGAAUACGUUCCUAGAUCUUGUACUCACCGCCCGUCACAUUAGGGAAGCCGGCAGUAGCCGAAAACCCACUUUAAGUGGAGAUAAGCUAAGGUCGGUGACAAGAAUGAAGUCGUAACAAGGUAACC
rnacentral:rRNA from 1 species